CAAUAGCGUAUAUUAAAGUUGUUGCAGUUAAAAAGCUCGGAGUUGGAUUUCUGGUUGAAGCGACCGGUCGGGCGUUGAUUCGUCUGCACUGGAGUCGGUUUUGGCCAUCCUCUAGGAAAGUGCGUCUGGUAUUAAGUUAUCGGGCGUAUGAUCCUGGUCUUUUACUGUGAAAAAAUUAGAGUGUUUAAAGCAGGCCUUCGCCUUGAAUACAUUAGCAUGGAAUAAUAAGAUAGGACUUUGGUCUAUUUUGUUGGUUUGCAGACCGAAGUAAUGAUUAAUAGGGAUAGUUGGGGGUAUUUAUAUUCCGAUGUCAGAGGUGAAAUUCUUAGAUUUUCGGAAGAUAAACUUAUGCGAAAGCAUUUACCAAGGAUGUUUUCAUUAA
rnacentral:rRNA from 1 species